rnacentral:other from 1 species
AUUCCUGAGGUGUUCGACACUCUUACUCACUUUGAACCUACAUUUUGACAUAAGGGAUUCCUAUAUUUUCUGGUGGAUGUCAGGCCUCCUUUGAGUGGAAGGCAGAAGUCAGAGUGCGGUUACCCACCUAGCAACGGCUAGGCGUCAAACAGUAAGAAACGGCAUUUUGGGAU